CAGCAUGUUUCCAAGGGCUGUGGCUUGCUGUGGCCAUGGGAUCUCCAACUGCAUGCAAGAGCAACAUGGAGAGACUUUGACAGCACAGGUCAGCAUAAUACCUGCAGCUGCCACUCGCCUUUCCUAUAAUC
rnacentral:snoRNA from 1 species